AUUUAAAUAGCUUAUAUAUAGAGCAUGACACUGAAGAUGUUAAGGAAAUGUAGAAUUUUUAAAUG
rnacentral:tRNA from 1 species